CUUCCAGGUGUUUGCCAUCUCUGGGGGAUCUGCUAUCAGCGGCCAUGACCCGAUAAAUGGUUUGUUUUUGCACCCGAAUCUCGACAAUCGGAUCCUCACCACCAUAUUCUCUGUCGGAUUAAUUUGACAAGGAAACUCAAACAAAGUAGAAGUUAGAAUAGCGAACGAAAAGAGCAGUGCUGGAUUCAAAGUGGAGCGGCCGCUGCAAUCCAAGGGUUUGGGGCU
rnacentral:misc_RNA from 1 species